GGGCCGGGCAGGGCGCUCCGGGCCGCUCCGGGCCCCCCGGCCGGUCCCCGGGGCGCGGAGCAGCGAGGCCUUCCCCGGGCCGCCCGCGGGCAUCGCUGGGGCGGGAGCCCCCCAGGGCCGGCCGGGGGCCGGGAGCCCCCGCAGCGAGGCUCCCCCUGCCCUCAGGUGAGCCCAGCCGGAGGGAGCCCGGCUCCGGGCACCGUGCUCUCAUCACCCAGUGCCCGACACCCCCUGCGUCCCCCAGGUACGAAGCCGAAGCCGGCCGCCAAGCCCAGGCUGCAGCACCCCGGUGGGGCUCCGCAGCUGGCGCUGCCGUCCGCCGUACCCAGACCCACCCCCCGGGACAAGGAGACGGAAACUGCUGGCAAGGCUGCGGGUCACAGACAGCCCUCGAAGAGGCUUUCUACAGCAAUCCCUACCGUGGCUUCUCGCUCCCGACUGCGGCCGCCAGGAAGAGUGGCUUCCCCCAAGCGCGCUUACCUAGGAUCGACUACCCAGGAGCUGCUGUGCAACAGGACCCGAGAGCUGAAGGAAAACGGCAAGGCUGACCAGACGUGGGUGUGCGUGGGAUCCCCUUCUCCCAUCGUGUUGCCACCCGUCCCUGCUCCGGGCUGUGGGGAGGCAGCCCCCGCUGAGCAGCCUGCAGGUGAUCAGCUGUCCCAGGAGCUGAAGCGUGUAAAGGACGAGCUGGAGCGAGUGAAGGGCGAGCUCGCUGACAGGACUGCCCAGUGUGAAGCCUAUCGCCAGACAAUCUCCUCCUUGCAGGCUCAGCUCAGAGCAGCAGGUAUGUCCCCUCGCCGGGGUGAGCCCUUGGUUCUGCGCAGGCUGCAGGGAUGCUCCUGUGAUCCCUUGCCGGUGUCAGUGAGGGCUGCCAGGUGGAAGGGACAAAGCUCGUGGCCUUCCCUGUGGGGCAGGUGCUGAGUGCUGGGAGCAACAGGGCUGUGAUGCUGCUCUUGUUCCCCAGGAAUCUGGCCAGAAGAUGCAGCAGUGGACGAGAGCGGUGUCGUGGGGAGAGACUGACAGCUGGCACACGGGGCAGACACAACAGCGACUUGUCCAGGCACCUGAGCUGCUGAGCCAGUGAUACUUGUGGAGCACUUGAACAAAUGGAUGUUUUAAUUCCUUGUAUUUAAAAUAAACUUUUUUUUCUUUUCUCA
rnacentral:lncRNA from 1 species